rnacentral:misc_RNA from 1 species
GGGUCUUUAAGGCCUAGAGGAUUCACAUACCAAUUGGAUUAACAUAUAUUUUAAGAAGGACCUUAAACCAAAUUUUGCUCGACCGCAAGGUUGCAGAAUGCUUUUGUUUUGUUUGUUCAGAGUUCAACUUAAGUAACAGUGAAGCUGUUGGGAUCUUUAUUCUUGUAGAUGAGGAAUGCUAUAAUGACAUUUAUUUAUAUCUGAUUAUACCUAUAUUUGUGAUGCCUUGUAAAUAGCAGC